rnacentral:rRNA from 1 species
UACGUAGGUCCCGAGCGUUGUCCGGAUUUAUUGGGCGUAAAGCGAGCGCAGGUGGUUUAUUAAGUCUGGUGUAAAAGGCAGUGGCUCAACCAUUGUAUGCAUUGGAAACUGGUAGACUUGAGUGCAGGAGAGGGGAGUGGAAUUCCAUGUGUAGCGGUGAAAUGCGUAGAUAUAUGGAGGAACACCGGUGGCGAGAGCGGCUCUCUGGCCUGUAACUGACACUGAGGCUCGAAAGCGUGGGGAGCAAACAGG